GACGAACGCUGGCGGCGUGCUUAACACAUGCAAGUCGAACGGAAAGGCCCUGCUUGCCGGGUACUCGAGUGGCGAACGGGUGAGUAACACGUGGGUGAUCUGCCCUUCACUUCGGGAUAAGCCUGGGAAACUGGGUCUAAUACCGGAUAGGCGCCAUUUUUAGUGUGAUGGUUGGAAAGUUUUUUCGGUGUAGGAUGAGCUCGCGGCCUAUCAGCUUGUUGGUGGGGUAAUGGCCUACCAAGGCGGCGACGGGUAGCCGGCCUGAGAGGGUGGACGGCCACAUUGGGACUGAGAGACGGCCCAGACUCCUACGGGAGGCAGCAGUGGGGAAUAUUGCACAAUGGGCGCAAGCCUGAUGCAGCGACGCCGCGUGGGGGAUGACGGCCUUCGGGUUGUAAACUGCUUUCGCUAGGGACGAAGCUUUUUGUGACGGUACCGAGAUAAGAAGCACCGGCAAACUACGU
rnacentral:rRNA from 1 species